GGCGUCCUCCCAGAGUUGAGCUAGUGGGUCCUCAUCAUGAUCCAACAAGUUGUUAAGAUAGACAAAAGUUGGCCCAAAAACUUUUUUCCAUGGCUCAUUAGGCUGGAGUUUAAGAACUAUAUCCUCUCCUGCGUAAUGUGCACUAAGAAACAUCUGAAACAUACAAGAAAUAUUGUAAAAUGAUUAAUGUGAUUGGCUUUUUUUGUUUCACAUAUCAUUUUAAAAUUUCCCAAAUUUAAGGGAUCAAUCUAUUCAACAUUUUCAAAAAGAUUCAUGAAUGAUACUUUUUUC
rnacentral:lncRNA from 1 species